CGCUGUUAACUUCCGAAACAUGAAUCGCCACCAGCUCGCCCAAGUUUCUCUUCUAGCACCGAGAAUGCGUUUCGCUCUCGCCACUUUUCCCUCCGUCCCCUGGCGUUGCAGUACCGAAGGCAUGCGCAGUCUAUUCUGCGCGCAGCCGAGCCUGCGCUGCUGCUCAGAACCGGAUGGGUGCACGAAGAAGCGUGAAUGCCCUGUGCCUUUUGUUGCUUCCUAUGCGGACCUCGCCCGCUGCCAGAAGGACGUGGUGGCUUCUCGGAGGAGGGAGGACCCUCGGGCUUUCUUCCACGUCCUGCUUCUUCCCGUGAGCUGUCGUUUGUCCACUGCGCUUGCACCACGUUUUGCUUGCGAAACACGCGUCAACUAGCCCGGCAACGUUUUCAGUACCAGCGGCUUCGCCGCCACGAUUACAAGCUUGUCGUUGCACCGCUAUCGGGUGAAACGUAACUAGCCGAACGCUUCAAAAUAACACCGUCAGAAAAAAGUGAGUUUGCCGCUAGAUAAGCUCGUGAGUUUAGGAAGUGAAAUUAUCGCAGAGACAUAUUGCACGGACGCUUACGAACACCGUGACUGCCAACGCUGUUUGUUAUUCACUCGACCCAUUGUCUGCCUGCUCUCCCCUGCGAUUCUAUCCACACCCUCUCUGGACGGUUUCACGUUGUAGAAAGCUUGCAGUUGCCCUAUAGGUGAAGCUUCCAAGGACAAUGCAAGAGGAAUGCCGCUGCCACUUUGUACGCAGCGGCUGCAGCGGGACACGAAGGCGUUUCGGCAGUGGCGAUUCUGGUUGUGCCAGAAUUACCGCCGUCACCUCGACGAUGCAGUCGAUGCUGGAUUCUGUGAUGACGCUUCUGGCCUGCGCCCGCUGACUUCUUCCAGCUCGCGUUGCCGAACACCAGUCGAGCAAGCGGAGAUUUCGCAGUCCGCGUGUUUGCAGGCAAGGUCUCGUCCAGGUAUAGCCAGACUUCCGGACUAGCCUGCACCGGCAGCGGUUCCACUAAAGAAGUGAUCGUGCCAUUUUUGUUAGCAGCGUUUCACCGUGACUACGCAAGACAAACAGCGAGUAAGGCUGUCGUGAUGCGAGAACUUUGGUCUUUUUCGUAAAAGGGAAAAAAAGACUUCACGAUUGUAGGAUAACGACGGUGCGUGCAUGGGUAAAAACGUUUAUGUUGGUGCACAAAGAGUUAAGCUAAAGCAAUUCGAACAUUUUCGAACACGUAAUUUUUGAGAUCAAUAAAAUUCUUUAAUGCGCGCAAGGUAAUUUCAGAGGAAAUACGGCUGCGAAGAGAUAAAUCCACCCAACAAGCUCCUCUAUAUAUUUAACAUAACGUAAUAUCUAAUAUCGAAGGCAAAAACUAUGCUCUUAGUUUAUUUUUAGACCUGAAGCAGGCUUUUAAUUCUAUGGAUCAUGAAAUUCUAUUCAGGAAAUUAGGGAAGUAAAGAAUACGGGGCGUUGCUACUUAUUUGCUUGAAAGGUAUUUAAAUAAUCGGUGACAGUUCGUGCGUAUGCAGGAUGUUUCGUGUAACUUUUUAACGCUUCAAGAAGGCGUCCCUCAGGGCUCCAAAUUAGCUCCGUUGUUAUUCCUUACCUUCGUAAACGAUAUUAACCUACUUCAUUCACCAGAAUUGAUAAUGUACGCCGACGAUACGAAUAUAUCUUUUAAAUCGCAUGGCCUGAAUAAAUUAGAACACCAUGCGAAUCGCUACCUUGUAUCACUAGAACGGUGGCUGAAAUAAAAUAAAUUGCAACU